rnacentral:piRNA from 1 species
UGACAAUACCAUCUGCAGCUGAGCUCUCU